AUUGAACGCUGGCGGCAUGCCUUACACAUGCAAGUCGAACGGCAGCACGGGAGCAAUCCUGGUGGCGAGUGGCGAACGGGUGAGUAAAGUAUCGGAACGUGCCCAGUCGUGGGGGAUAACGUAGCGAAAGUUACGCUAAUACCGCAUACGAUCUACGGAUGAAAGCGGGGGAUCGCAAGACCUCGUGCGAUUGGAGCGGCUGAUAUCAGAUUAGGUAGUUGGUGGGGUAAAGGCUCACCAAGCCGACGAUCUGUAGCUGGUCUGAGAGGACGACCAGCCACACUGGGACUGAGACACGGCCCAGACUCCUACGGGAGGCAGCAGUGGGGAAUUUUGGACAAUGGGCGCAAGCCUGAUCCAGCCAUGCCGCGUGCAGGAUGAAGGCCUUCGGGUCGUAAACUGCUUUUGUACGGAACGAAAAGGUUUGGCCUAAUAAGCUGGACCCAUGACGGUACCGUAAGAAUAAGCACCGGCUAACUACGUGCCAGCCGCCGCCGUAA
rnacentral:rRNA from 1 species